UGAGCGGCAAACGGGUGAGUAACGCGUGGGAAUCUACCCAUCUCUACGGAAUAACACAGAGAAAUUUGUGCUAAUACCGUAUACGUCCUAUUUGGAGAAAGAUUUAUCGGAGAUGGAUGAGCCCGCGUUGGAUUAGCUAGUUGGUGAGGUAACGGCUCACCAAGGCGACGAUCCAUAGCUGGUCUGAGAGGAUGAUCAGCCACACUGGGACUGAGACACGGCCCAGACUCCUACGGGAGGCAGCAGUGGGGAAUAUUGGACAAUGGGGGCAACCCUGAUCCAGCCAUGCCGCGUGAGUGAUGAAGGCCCUAGGGUUGUAAAGCUCUUUCACCGGUGAAGAUAAUGACGGUAACCGGAGAAGAAGCCCCGGCUAACUUCGUGCCAGCAGCCGCGGUAAUACGAAGGGGGCUAGCGUUGUU
rnacentral:rRNA from 1 species